CACAUUUCUGAUCUGCCAAUGGGCAUCAUGUUGCUGGGCAGCUUAUGCAAAUUAGGAUGUUUGUUCCCACCCACUCCUCCAUGAUUGUUCUGAGGAGGCUGCGGGAAGGAGGCGCGAGCGAGAGGUACAGAAAACGGAAGCCAUAAGCGACAGAGAAAUCAUUUGUCAAUCAUGAUUGUCUUGCCACCAGGACUAACAGAGGAAGAAGAAGCGCUGCAGAAAAAAUUUGCCAAACUCAAGAAGAAGAAAAAGGCCCUCAUGGCCUUAAAGAAGCAACAGAGUUCAACCAGCCAGGCCAGCCAGGGAGGAAUCAAACGCUCCAUCUCGGACCAGCCAGUAGUGGACACAGCCACAGCGACGGAGCAAGCCAAGAUGCUGGUGAAAACGGGGGCCAUCAGUGCUAUCAAGGCUGAGAACAAAAAUUCCGGGUUCAAGCGUUCCCGUACUCUGGAGGGAAAACUGAAGGAUCCUGAGAAAGGACCAGCUCCGACUUUCCAGCCUUUUCAGCGCAGCAUCUCAGCAGAUGAUGACUCUCAAGAGUCACGGCGACCUCAGAGGAAAUCUCUCUAUGAAAGCUUUGUAAGCUCCAGUGAUCGUCUGCGGGACCCAGAGAAGGAUCCAGAAGUGGGCAGGGAUCCAGACAAGGAGUCCGACCGGGGUGAAAACUUGCGUGGUUACGAGUGGGACUAUGAUCGCGAUCGGAGCCGGGACAGGAGCAGGGAACACGACCGAGACCGUGACCGAGACCGUGACCGUGAUAGAGAGCGUGACCGAGACCGCGAUCGUGACCGCGAUAGAGAGCGUGACAGAGAGGGCAGCUUUCGCUGCCUACCUAUGGGCUGUCUUUCCUCCUUUUCCUCUCAUCCAGGUUCAGAUUCUUUCCCAGACCGGCGGGCCCCACGCAAAGGGAACACGGUGUAUGUGUAUGGGGCGGACAUGAACCAGACUAUGCUGCGCACAGCUUUCUCUGCCUUUGGGAACAUCAUUGACCUCUCCAUGGACAACCCUCGCAACUGUGCUUUUGUCACCUACGAGAAGAUGGAGUCUGCAGACCAAGCCAUUGCUGAGCUCAAUGGUGCUGUGGUAGAAGAUGUGCAGUUAAAGGUCAGCAUUGCCCGCAAGCAGCCCAUGCUGGAUGCAGCCACUGGCAAAUCUGUCUGGGGAUCUUUGGGAGCCCAGAUCGGUGUACUACAUACUUCUCCUCACAACAACCCUGUGAAGUAGGUUAGGCUGAGAGAGAAGUGACUGGCCCAGAGUCACCUAGCAAGUAUCAUGGCUGAAUGGGGAUUUGAACUCGGGUCUCCCUGGUCCUAGUCCAGCACUCUAACCACUACACCACGAUGGCUCUCUUGAACUGUGAAUAACAGUGUCAAAGGCUCUCACCGAGACAAGCGAUCCCAGGUUGUCUACAAUGAAGAUAUCUUCUGAGGCCUGUGUGGUGAUCCCUUCUUGAGGGAUGGAGUGUGCUUUGAUUUUGUGUCAUUUAAUUAGGUAUUCAAAUAAACGUCUGCUGUUUUCUA